rnacentral:rRNA from 1 species
UAACACCUGGAAACAGAUGCUAAUACCGGAUAACAACAGAUGAUGCCUAUCAACUGUUUAAAAGAUGGUUCUGCUAUCACUCUUGGAUGGACCUGCGGUGCAUUAGCUAGUUGGUAGGGUAACGGCCUACCAAGGCGAUGAUGCAUAGCCGAGUUGAGAGACUGAUCGGCCACAUUGGGACUGAGACACGGCCCAAACUCCUACGGGAGGCAGCAGU